AAAAAACAAAGAUAGAAAAGAAACAGAAUGAAACGAAACAGAGAGCAAGGAAGGAAAGAAAAGAAAGAAAGGGAGAAAAGGGAAAUUUUGAGAUUUCAAGGUUUGAAAGUUUAAUUGGUAAGUCAAUUUAGCCCUUUUUACUUAAUUUUGAUUUUUAGAAGCUUUAGAACAAGAUUUUGAUGAAAUUAAGUUGAUAUUUUGAAAGUUAUUAGAUUUCUAGAUAAUGUUCAUGUGAGUAAAAUGAUGAAUUAAGGGCUAAAUUGAUAGAAAUUCAAGUUAGAAAUGAAAUAAGGGUUGAAUUGUAAAGUAAUUCAUAAGUUUUAUGCUUUAAGGACUAAAUUGAAAGAAUUUUGAAAUUAUGGUUUUAUGAUGAAAAAUAGAUAAUUAUGUCUAAGUUUGGUUAAAAAUUGAGUAGAAAUAAAGUAUGAAUUAAGAUAGAAAAGUAAGUGAAUUUAGUUAGGAUUAAAUUGAAAUUAAAAGUAGAAAAUCAACAUUUUGCACUAAGACUAUUUUGGACAGCAGCAGUAGUCUAAGUUUGAAAAAUCACCAAAAAUUGUAUAAAUUAAAUUAGAGGAUGAAUAAAAUAUGGAAUUAAAGCAUAUUGAGUCUAGUUUCUUAUAGAAGAAACGAUAUAAGCAAUUGAAUUGUAAAUUAUGAGAUAUAAUGAAUUUUGUGAGACAAGAUCAGAAUGAAUUCGGGUUCCUCUGUUCUGACUUUGGAAAAUCACCAAAAAAUUGGAGAAAAAUAAUUAGAGGCUUAAAGUUAUAUGUUUAGAAUCCCUAAUGAAUCUAUUUUCAGGAGAAAUCAACGAGAAUAUUAUCCGAGUUCUGUACUGUGAGAUAAUUAAUUUUUAGUGAAGAAGGGUCGAAACUGUCAGACAGCAGAAUAGGGGUGAAUUUAAAGAAUAAACUGUACUUAAUGACUAAACCAAAAAUUUUGAAAAUUUUAUGGUAAGAAGAUUUGUGAGUCUAGUUUCAGGAAAAAUUAGCAGAUCUUAAUUUAGAAUUCUGUAAGUCAAGAUAUAAAUUAGUAAUGUAUUAAUGAUUAUGAAUUGUAUUAAUUUCGUAGUCAAUGUGGUAUCGAAAAUCUCGGCUAAGAAAGGACAAGACAAAGUCAACGAGAGUUAGCUCGAAAAUUACGAUUUGUAUUUCUAUAACCCGAACUUAAUAUUUAAUUAUUGAAUUUAUUAUUUAUUAUGUAUGGUAGGUGCAUUGAUUAAAUUAUUUGAAAUAAAAUGAAUAUUGAUUGAAAUUGAAGGGUGAAUUUAAUUAAUAAUUGUUGUAUUUUAAUUGAAUGUUAUGGUAAAUAAUUAAAGUAUGAAUUAUUGGUAUUGUGUUUUUAUUGAAAUGAUUUGAUUUGAAAAUGUGGUGAAAUAAUUAUGAACAUGUGUUUAUUGUGAAAUUGAAUAUUUAUUAGUGAAAAGUGAAUGGAAUUAUAUUGAAUUAAAAAAAAUAUAAUUAAUUAAUUAAAAUAUGAAUUAAUUGAAAACUGAAAAGUGAAUUAAAUACCCUAUUGACUAGUCGGGCUAGUCGGAUAUAGUUGGCAUACCAUAGGAUAUGAAAGAGUACGGGUUUUAGCCGACUUACUGAUCAGACACUUAUGUGCCGACUACUGUUACUGUUACCGUUACUGUUACCGAUUCGGCACUUUGUGUGUCGGAUAUUGUUACUGUUACCGUUACUGUUAUUGUUUCGGAUUUGUUCCGAUGAGGUACUCUGUGUACCGUACUGUUACUGUUCCGGAUUUGUUCAGAUGAGGUACUCUGUGUACCGUAUUGCUACUGUUACUGUUACUGUUUCGACUUCGGCCGAUGAGCCACUAUGUGCCGUACUGGUAUGCUGGUUGGAUCCGUGUAUCCGUCUGAGUCCGAGUCAUGUUAAUAGGGGUAAAUAAAGGAACUGGAAAGAUCACUGUUAUUGAAUAAUUUAAUUGUUACUGAAUAACUGAUUAUUAUUGAAUAAUUGAUUGUUACCGAAUAAUUGAUUGUUACCGAAUAACUUACUGUUACUGAAAAAAUAAUCGUUCUGAUUAAUUGGUUGUUAAUGAAUAUUACUGAUUGAUUAAUUGCUAUUGAAAAAUAAUAAAUGAUUUUGAAUUUAUAGUAGAACAAAAUAUUGGUUGGAAAGUGAAUGUUUGAAUACUCAUUGAGUUUGAAUAGUUCAAUAUAUAAAAAUUAAUAUGUUUUAUAAUUGUUUAAGUGUUCGGAUUAUAGAAAUACCACUGAGUGUAUACUCAGCAUACGGUUUGUUUCCGUGCGCAGGUUAAGGUUAGACCGUUGAAUCAGCAUCCCAGGCCGAUCCCGAAUUCAAUGAGGUAAAGUAUGUUGAGUAUUGGUAAUGGCAUGUACCUAGGAUGUCUUAUGAGAGUCAUUUAGGUUGUGAAAGUAUUGAUAAAAUAAGUAAAUUAUGGUUGGCAAUGGUAUAUAGUAUGAAUUUGAAAUUUGAAAGAAAAAUUCGUAGUAAUUCAAAAUUAGUUCCGAAUUGAUUUUACUAUUCAUAUUAGACCGCGAGGGACCAUUAAAGGGACGGCAUCUUAAAAUUAUGAUGAGUCUGAAUGUUUAUAUUUAAUUAAUGUCUGUAUUGUACUGUACUGACUGGUAAUGUCUCUUAACCCUGUUCCGGCAACGGUAUGAGGUUAGGGGACGUUACAUGUUUUCCUUCCAUUUAGAUAUAAAAACCAUCGAGACCAGUCCCCGUAGUCUUAAAUUAAUUCCAGUAGUUUUCAUCUCCUUUACUAUGUAAUAAAAUUUGUUGGAGUACUUGAAUUGUUUUAAAAUUUUCAUGUUCAAUUAUGCAUUGUGAUAGCCUCUCUUUUUCAAGACAUUUAUGUGCAUGAAAAAAAUUCUUAUGAUAUAAUUAUUUCGUAAGGUUAACUGUGAUUAGAGAUGAACAAAAGUUGGUUCAAACUGAUUUAAUCAAUGGCCUGCUUCAACCAUCUCAAUUAUGAUGGAUAAGGUGGUUUUUGCAAUGGUUAAAAUAGGUUACAUCGGCAUAUUAUCUCAAUUGGAGAGUUUAAUUACUCAAUCUUCUAUUUUUGUUCAAAUAAAUUAAAAAAAGUUCAAAACUCUGUUUACCAAACGCCUUAUAAUUUAAUUCAUAAAAUUUAUUAUAUUCAAUAUACAAUUAAAUAAAAUUAAAUAAAAUCAUAGAAAUCAAGGCUGGAAUUACAAUCAUACUAAAAUUAAAUAAAAUAAAAAUAAAAAGAACAAAAGAACCAUCCUAAUGCACAUUUGAUAACAUUAACUAAUCGUUUAAACUAAACUAUUAGGCCCUUCUAAUCGAAUGUAAUCAUACAUUACAGCUUCAAAAGGGUUGUCACUUCUUGUCUGAGUUAGAUAUAUUGUGUUGUUCCCUUUACGAAAUCUAUAUUCAGGUACUUCAAUGCUGUACAACCUGUACAAUCCGUGAAUCCCGUGCCUUGGUACGGCGUUG
rnacentral:lncRNA from 1 species